UUGCUACUCCCUCCGUUUCAAAUUAUUCGUCGCAGAAAUGGAUGUAUCUAGAACUAAAAUACAUCUAGAUACAUCCAUAUCUGCGACAAGUAAUUCGAAACGAAGGGAGUAGAUG
rnacentral:pre_miRNA from 1 species